rnacentral:rRNA from 1 species
AUUGAACGCUGGCGGCAGGCCUAACCCAUGCAAGUCGAACGAGUGGCGGACGGGUGAGUAAUGUCUGGGAAACUGCCUGAUGGAGGGGGAUAACUACUGGAAACGGUAGCUAAUACCGCAUACCAUCGGAUGUGCCCAGAUGGGAUUAGGUAGUAGGUGGGGUAACGGCUCACCUAGGCGCCGAUCCCUAGCUGGUCUGAGCGGAUGACCAGCCAGCCUGGAACUGUGACACGGUCCAGACUCCUACGGGAGGCAGCAGUGGGUAAUAUUGCACCAGGGGCGCAAGCCUGAUGCAGCCAUGCCGCGUGUAUGAAGAAGGCCGUCGGGUUGUAAAGUACUUUCAGCGGGGAGGCGUUACCCGCAGAAGAAGCACCGGCGAACUCCGUGCCAGCAGCCGCGGUAAUAC